rnacentral:rRNA from 1 species
AACGCGAAGAACCUUACCUGGGCUUGACAUGUUCCUGACCGCUGUGGAAACACAGCUUCCCUUCGGGGCAGGAUCACAGGUGGUGCAUGGCUGUCGUCAGCUCGUGUCGUGAGAUGUUGGGUUAAGUCCCGCAACGAGCGCAACCCCCGUCGCAUGUUGCCAGCAUUUAGUUGGGGACUCAUGCGAGACUGCCGGUGACAAACCGGAGGAAGGUGGGGAUGACGUCAAGUCAUCAUGCCCCUUAUGUCCAGGGCUACACACGUGCUACAUUGGCGCGUACAGAGGGUUGCGAUACCGCGAGGUGGAGCGAAUCCCUUAAAGCGCGUCUCGGUUCGGAUUGGAGGCUGAAACUCGCCUCCAUGAAGGCGGAGUUGCUAGUAAUCGCGGAUCAGCACUGCCGCGGUGAAUACGUUCCCGGGCCUUGUA